AUGUUUUUCCCUGAGGAGAGUUUCAUCGUACAACACUUGGUAUUGUUUUCAUUUUAUUGUGCCCCUGAGAAGUCCUUCAUCUUCUAACAGUUGGCGUUUCUUUUCUCGUUCCAGGCUCGGAGGAUUGCUUCGGCCACUUCUUGGGGUUCUCCUCACCAUGAUUUCUGCGAGGACAGCUUCAUCGUAGAACCACUGGCCCUGAGGAUUGCUUCAGCGUGCAGCUUCUGGUGUUUUCUUCGCUGCGACGCUGAGGAUUCUACAUUGUCGAACCUUUGG
rnacentral:lncRNA from 1 species